UACGAGGGGUCCAAGCGUUGUUCGGAAUUAUUGGGCGUAAAGCGGGUGUAGGCGGCUCUAUAAGUCAGAAGUGAAAGCCCUGGGCUCAACCCGGGAAGUGCUUUUGAUACUGCAGAGCUUGAAUGUGGGAGAGGGUAGUGGAAUUCCAGGUGUAGUGGUGAAAUACGUAGAUAUCGGGAGGAACACCGGUGGCGAAGGCGGCGACCUGGGUAGAUACUGACGCUGAGGUGCGAAAGCGUGGGGAGCAAACAGG
rnacentral:rRNA from 1 species